rnacentral:rRNA from 1 species
CGGCGCACGGGUGAGUAACACGUAUCCAACCUGCCGUCUACUCUUGGACAGCCUUCUGAAAGGAAGAUUAAUACAAGAUGGCAUCAUGAGUCCGCAUGUUCACAUGAUUAAAGGUAUUCCGGUAGACGAUGGGGAUGCGUUCCAUUAGAUAGUAGGCGGGGUAACGGCCCACCUAGUCUUCGAUGGAUAGGGGUUCUGAGAGGAAGGUCCCCCACAUUGGAACUGAGACACGGUCCAAACUCCUACGGGAGGCAGCAGUGAGGAAUAUUGGUCAAUGGGCGAGAGCCUGAACCAGCCAAGUAGCGUGAAGGAUGACUGCCCUAUGGGUUGUAAACUUCUUUUAUAAAGGAAUAAAGUCGGGUAUGGAUACCCGUUUGCAUGUACUUUAUGAAUAAGGAUCGGCUAACUCCGUGCCAGCAGCCGCGGUAAUACGGAGGAUCCGAGCGUUAUCCGGAUUUAUUGGGUUUAAAGGGAGCGUAGAUGGAUGUUUAAGUCAGUUGUGAAAGUUUGCGGCUCAACCGUAAAAUUGCAGUUGAUACUGGAUAUCUUGAGUGCAGUUGAGGCAGGCGGAAUUCGUG